rnacentral:misc_RNA from 1 species
UGUAUUCAUUCACCUAGUUGGUACUUGAUUGUACUGGCGAUGGUGAGAUUUGAGGCGUCGCCCUUACCCGGCGUGCUUUUAAAACUAUGGUUGUCGGUUGCUGUUGUAACGGAAAAGUAUGUGUAUGGACUUCGGUUCUCUUAUACUCAGUACGUGCUUCGCCUUGGCCGGCACUCACCUAUUAAAGUCAGUAAUGCUGGCUUGAA